UCGAUCUCUCUCCGUCUCUCGAUUGUCACUUGCUUCUCUCGAAGGCCGAGCUCCGCCCCUAGUCUCACCAGCUACUUCUACUUCCAGUCCACCGGUGGUCGGCAUCUCCUAGAUUAGGGGCUUUAAUCUCUGACCAUGUAAGUGUAUCAAAUAUCCCUAAAGUCGAAACCCCAAUCCUCCCCCACCCAAGUCCGCAGGCAGCAACUGAACUGCCAUCUGCCAUCGCCUCCCGCCAGGCACCACCGCACCAGCUUCCACCUCUAAAGAAGCUUCUAUUUGUUGCACCCAUGUGAAGGUUCUACAGUGCAGAUUCUCACACAAGGAAAACUUGGUUGAGAUCAAGAAGGCUGAACCAAAGAAACCCUCAAACCCAACACUUGCUUCUGCACCCAAUAGUGAUUCUAGGGGCCGUUCAUUUGGCGAUAGGUUUGGUGGAUUCGGCAAAAACUGUUCAAUACAGACUCUGACAAGUUUAUUUUCAUUACUUUUACUUUUCAUUACAUUUUUAUUUCCAUUACAAAUUGGCAAAAAUUACCUGUGGUGUUGGCGUUGGUGACGAAGCCAUUGUUUGACACUUUGACGGAAGAGAACGCCGCAAACAGGAAUUGGGAAAGGAUUAAUGAGGCAGCCGACAGGGGAUAGGAAUUUUUUAUAGGUUUAGCAGUGGGCAAAUUGUUUUGGGCAAGAUUUAUAUAUUUGGAUUUAGUAAUUAAAAUGGGCCAAAAGAAUUGAAUUUAAUAUUUUUUUUAGGUUGAAUUAAGAAGCCCAUUUAGUUUAAGUUAUAAAUAUUAAGUUAU